rnacentral:rRNA from 1 species
CGCAUCUGUGCAUGCAGUAUAUCAAUAAGCGGAGGAAAAGAAACUAACAAGGAUUCCCCUAGUAACGGCGAGUGAAGCGGGAAGAGCUCAAAUUUGAAAUCUUAAAGGGUUUCCCUUUACGAAUUGUAGUUUAAAGAAGUGUUUUCUGUUGAGGUUUUGGUAAAAGUUCUUUGGAAUAGGACAUCAUAGAGGGUGAGAAUCCCGUAUUUGACCUUUACUUUCAACUUUGUGAUACACUUUCAAAGAGUCGGAUUGUUUGGGAAUGCAGUCCAAAAUGGGUGGUAAAUUUCAUCUAAAGCUAAAUAUUGGCGAGAGACCGAUAGCGAACAAGUACCGUGAGGGAAAGAUGAAAAGAACUUUGAAAAGAGAGUUAAACAGUACGUGAAAUUGUCAAAAGGGAAGCGUUUGACACCAGUGUUGUUUUUCUGAAAAUCAAUUAAAGAACUGUUUAUGCUAAGUUGUUUAGACUUUAUCAGCUAACUGUUUAGUUUUGAGCUUUUCUUUAAUGCACUUUUCAGUUAACAAGUCAACAUCAAUUUCUUUUGCUGUAAAAAAGCUUGAGGAAGGUGGCUUGAGAUUCGUCUUAAGUGUUUAUAGCCUCUUGCCUAUGCAGUCGGAGAGAUUGAGGUCUGCAGCGUAGAUCCUUCGGGGCUAAAUGCAUUUGUGCUAAGUUAUAGCAUUUUAUAGACAACUUGUUGACUAUGAUUUGUCUUGUAGCUUACUCGCUUAUGUUAUUUUACCUACGCUUAGGAUGUUGAACGCGCACAGAGUCUCA